GAUGAACGCUGGCGGCGUGCCUAACACAUGCAAGUCGAGCGAACCUUUCGGGGUGAGCGGCGGACGGGUGAGUAACGCGUGGGUAACCUGCCCUAUACACACGGAUAACGUACCGAAAGGUACGCUAAUACGGGAUAAAGUUGUUGGAUGGCAUCUUCUAACAAUCAAAGCUCCGGCGGUAUAGGAUGGACCCGCGUCUGAUUAGCUAGUUGGUGAGGUAAUGGCUCACUAAGGCGACGAUCAGUAGCCGACCUGAGAGGGUGAUCGGCCACACUGGAACUGAGACACGGUCCAGACUCCUACGGGAGGCAGCAGUGGGGAAUAUUGCACAAUGGGCGAAAGCCUGAUGCAGCAACGCCGCGUGAGCGAUGAAGGUCUUCGGAUCGUAAAGCUCUGUCCUCAAGGAAGAUAAUGACGGUACUUGAGGAGGAAGCCCCGGCUAACUACGUGCCAGCAGCCGCCGUAA
rnacentral:rRNA from 1 species